UCCGGUUUGACACCGGCAGUCCCGCUAGAGUGCCCGGCGCCCGAAGGCCCGAUGGCAACUAGAGGCAGGGGUUUCGCUCGUUAAGGGACUUAACCCGACACUUCACAGCACGAGCUGACGACAGCCAUGCAGCACCUGUGCACGUUCCACCCUUGCGGGCGUGGCCCGGCUUUCACCGGGUUAAUCCGUGCAUGUCAAGCCCUGGAUAAGGUUCUUCGCGUUGCUUCGAAUUAAGCCACAUGCUCCACCGCUUGUGUGAGCCCCCGUCAAUUCCUUUGAGUUUUAGCCUUGCGACCGUACUCCCCAGGCGGCACACUCAUCGAUUUUUCUUCGACCCCGCCGGCGUCAGAGCCUUCGAGGUCUAGUGUGCAUCGUUUACGGCGUGGACUAC
rnacentral:misc_RNA from 1 species